CCAAGGUGCCUUUUCUGCCUCCCAGAAACUUGUCCCAAACCCCCUCCUCCAUCCUGGGGGACUCACAGCCAUUGACACCCACCCAGACCCCCCCAUGUCAUCCCAGGACAAGGUCCCCAAGAAGCCGCCAGCCCUGAGUGUCACUCACUAAUGAACCCCAAUUAACAGCCAGGCUCUGCUCUCUGCCAGGGAAGUAGGUGCUUCUCCAUGGAAAACACUCCUGGAUUUCUUUAAUCCUAUUUGUUGGAGCCCAACUAAUUGCAAUUAGUGGCGGGGGCUGAAGUUCAAUUAAAGUGUGCCGAGAUUAGUCUGUUUUUAAUUGCUUUAGUGCUGGAUUAGGGAAGCUUUGGAGCAACACCAGCCGUGGGCAGGGGGUGCUGGACCCACCAGGCUGGGCUGGAGCCUGGAAUGGGGGUCCCAUGGCUCCCUGUGGGAUCAGGGGACACUGGGGGGUCUCUUUGGGAAUGGGAUCCCCCCACGUGGGAUCCGCUGCCCACGGGCACGGGCAGGGCUAAUCCUGACACCUCCUCCCCCCAGAGCAGGGGAAGGACACCCCAGGAUUACCCCUGGGGAAAGCAGGGAGGUAAAUAAUCCUAUUACCCCCGGGCAGGAUAAAUCUCCCUCCCCGAAAAGCCCCCCAGAGCAUCUCCAGGCCGGAGGGAGCCGGGCUGGGCGGAGGGAGCAGCUCUGGAGCCGGGAUCGCGGCACUCUCGGGUGCGAGGAGCCGUCCUGUGCCAGCGCUGAGUUUUGGGGAACGCUGUGAGCUCUGGGGAGCACCGUGAGCCCCAGGGAGCACCCUGAGCUCCAGGGAGCACCGUGAGCUGUGGAGAACACUGUGAGAUCCAGGGAACGCUGUGAGAUCCAGGGAGCACCGUCAGUCUUGGGGAACACUGGGAGUUCUGGGGAACGCCGUGAGUUCCAGGGAACCCUGAGGAGCACCGUGAGUUCCAGGAAGCACCGUCAGCCCCAGGGAGCACCGUGAGGAAUACUGGAACGCCGUGAGCCCAGGGGAACUCUGUAAGCCCCAGGGAACACCGUGAGCCCAGGGGAACUCUGUAAGCCCCAGGGAACGCCGUGAGCUCCAGGGAACGCCGUGAGCCCAGGGG